ACAAAUGAGCACCUAGUGACAAAUUUGUGAUCUAGGACCACAAAUUGGAGUCCAUUUUCAGCCUAGGUCAGUUCUGUACUAGAAGUCAGAGACAGCAGGAGCAGAUAAAAUACAAGAAUUCUUACGCAAAAUAAAUAUGGUCAUCUGCAUCGGAAAGUAAACCCCCAAGAAGCAGGGGAAGUAAAGGAUCCAUUGGAAAAUCAGAGAUGGUGAGAAAUAAUCUGGUGUGGAUUUAAGUACCAUUAUAAAGGAACCCUUCAGAACAACUCAAAAGCUAAUAUUAUUGAAAAGGACUUGAAUAAUUGAGAAACGAUCAGAAGUUUUGAAAUGUUAUCAGGGAAAAAAAAAAAAAGAAAUCCAUUUGUUAUUUUUUCCUGCUACCUGUCUAGAAAUAAUUGAUAUAUGAUGAUUUAUUCGAAAUUUAAAAUAUUCCUAAGGAUACGCCUUGGCAAGAUUCAUUGAGCUCUGUCAAAUGUUGCAUUUGUGAGUGCAGAAGAUACUCUUUACAGGAUUGUUGCUGAUGAGAAAUUUAGUCUAAGGAAACCUGAAAGUUAAAUGCUGCUCUGAAAGUGGUAAUUCAUAUAGUAAUUCUUUUUCAUUUAAAAACUGAUUCUGCGACAAGCUGGAUGACAGCAGUCAUUUCUCAGUCCUACUAGCCCUCUUAACCUUACUGUUGAGUUAGAAGUGUAACAGAAAAUGCCUAUGAGAAUAAAAUUUAUCAGUCAGCACAAGUCUAGAUAUAAUGUAAGCUGCAUGUGAAAAAGCACCCUUGUGUUACGAUUGCAUAUUUAUGUUAAUCAUUGCACCCAUAUUUUCACUCCAUUAUAUUAGUUGAGUGCUUAAUCCAAAAUCUGGAUGCAUUCAGGCACAGCAUUCUGUCUCCCCAGGAUUCUUCUGGAGGACACAGAGCUUGAGAUGUUGCUCCAGUAAUAUUUCUAGGUUUAAAAAAAAAUCCAAAUAGUACCGAUGUCCUUGACCAUUUAUUGAGUACAUGACAAAACAAAGCUAAUGGCAUGAAGAAGUGUGAGGUUUAGUCAUACUUUAUUACAUGUAGAAAUAUAUGUCUACUCAUGCUUUUACUGAAGCUGGCAAUGAAAUAAAUUUCACAUUAGCUAGAACAGACCAUACUAAAGAGAACUCAAAGUUGUUCUUGUCUUUUCAGAGGCACUGAUAAAGGGACUCCUGCUUGCUGUCAUUUCAAUUUCUUUUCUCUGCCCCUUAGGAAAAAUGUAGUGAGGGAUAGAGAGAAAAACAGGUUUUUUUUUUCCCCUGGUUAGGAAAUGCCGUAACAGAAUAGUUCAGACAGUUUUAAGUAUCUUUCAAGACCAGCAUCUUAAAAAAAAUCUCUGUGUUGAGACAUAAGUGCUGGUAGAUACAGUUAUGUUUAGAUGCCGUGUGCAAAAAUCCGCAGCGUGAAAGGGAUACACAAACAAGGCCUCUUUCUCUCUAGCAUAAUUGAAUUCUUCCUUUUGUUUAGAUAGUGAAUGUAUUUUUUAUUGUUGGCAGUUCCUUGUGUUAUGAGUUAGUGUACAAUUAUAAUUCAUGCAUAUGUAUUUACAAAAAUGAAUGAGUGACUGGUUCCCUGGGAUUUUUACCAACUUUGGUAUCUGAGCAUCAAUGAAUAUAAAAAGCAAACAAAUACACUGUUAAUAAUAAUUUCCAUAAGACUGCUCCAAAAGAGUAAGCUACAUAUUAACAUGCUGAAAAUGAUUUAGGACAGACCAUAAAUGUCUCUAUUUUAAGUCUUUUGCAGGGACAACUUUGCAAAAUGAAAAUAUUUAUCUAAGGUGAUGGUGAAUAUUUCAUAAAAUCAUCAAAUCUCCUUGCCAGAGGAUACAAGCCAAAUGUUUUUAACUGGAAUAUCAUGCAAAAAU
ensembl:lncRNA